AGCUGGUGGUCCAAUCGAUUUCAAGCGUUGAGUGACAGAUUGUGUCUAUAUCAGUAGAGAAGCUUAAAGCUAAAGCUGUUGGUCGAAUCGAAUUCAAGCGUUGUGUUACAGAUUGUGUCUGUAUCAGGAGAGAAGCUCAAAGCUUAAGAAAUCCGUCCCUUCUACGAACAUACAACAGUCAAUACUGAAUAACGAAGAUAAGGUCAUUUCGAAGAAAUCCAUCACCCCUUCAGAGAUACAAAAGUAAACACUGAGUACCGAAGAUAAGGUCAUUGCGAAGCUGUCGGUGGAAUCGAUUUUAAGCGUUGAGUGACAGAUUGUGUCGAUAUCAGGAGAAAAGCUCAAAGCUAGAGG